UCCACCUCCACCCAGACGGCCAUACACGCUCUUUGGCGUUUGGGUGGGUGAUUUCAGUGACUAUGGUGAAUUUUAGGGCAGAUGAGUUUGGGAUUUCCUGAUUUCUCACCAAUUCACUCCUUCUACAAAUCUUUGUAAGCGCCAACCGUGUGCUGGAGCCGGGAUGCAGCAAUGAACAGAGUCACGGAGCUUGCUUCCUGCCGGGAUGAGACGGACUAUAACAGGCUGUGCCCUGGAGAAUGAGGUCUGGCUGCGGGAUGUGACUUGGUCCUGGGACAUGUGGCUUCAGGCCCAGCUGAGAACCGAGGCCAACGCCAGGCCUUCUAAAGCGGAAGCAAGCACGGCCAUUGGAAACGAGGCCAUGUUGGCUGCAGAUGCCCGGUGACUCCACGGUGGCUCGGACGAUGGCGCCUGGGAUCAGAGCCUUCUGUGGCUCCACCUAGAAAGCAAUCUUAAAGCCCCACUCUGCAGGCCUCUUCCGUCUGGCCCAGCCCAGCCUGCCCUGAGCUGUCUCCACAGAUGGUGCCACUCCCCGUUCUCCGUUUGCUUCCGAAACUCGCUCCCUCCGAGGUUGCCCCUCUGUUCCCUCCACCACGACCUGUGGCCCAUUCCCCCCCAGCCCCCUGCCCUCAUCCUUUCUCUCCAUGACCAAACCCUCCCCAUCCCGCGUACCCCAGCCCAGGGUCUCGUCCGUCAAGCCUCACCCGCCAACCCCUCCUGGAAGCUACCUUCUUCCUCUGAACACCGGGUCACACAGACAAAUGUCCUGAUUAGGCAAGUUAGUGGACCUUUCUGAGCCUCAGUUUCUCCAUCUGCAAAAUGAGGACGCUAGUCCAGCUCCCUCAGAGAAUCAGAGGCUCAGAGAACGGGAUCACAACAGCGGCCGACACUCGGGCAUCCCCUGCGGGGUGCCCAGCGUUGUCGGAAGUGCUGAGCAAAGGUUGGCGCUCUCGUUACUCCCAGUCGACGAAGAGAGAAGCAAGACACAAGGACGUGAAGCAGCAGGCUCAGGCUGAUGCAGCAGCCAGAGGGGACGGUGCAGGGCAGCCUGGCUGCCCCUCCCUGCCCUCCAUCACUGUGCGAUGAACGUGCCUGGUGGGUGUGGUGCGUGUGUGUGCAUGCCUGUGUGUGGGUGUGAGGACGCUCAGAGCACAGGUCCUGGCGCCCAGCGGGUUAUCCCUCUGGGAGCAUCUGAUCUCCAUGGCCCCUUAUCUCUGCCCCUCUGACUUGGCCCUUCCGCUUUGUCUCAUAACUCUGCUGCUCAUAGCUCACCCCCUCCACCCCCCACUCCCCCGCCGGACUGUGAGCUCCUGGAGGGCGGGGCCUGGCUCCCACCUGGGUAUGAACCGAAGCGCCUAACCCAGGGGCCCUGACACCGUCCGGCCCCCCGCGACUCCUCCGUGCCGUCCUUGAGCGGGCACAUCUUGUGGCUUCCCAGGGAGGACCCUGCUCGGCCCCGGCCCAGGGCCCCGCAGGCAGGAGGACCUCUGCAGCACAUGCUCCCCCCUCAUUGUUAAAGUUCAGGUCUCACUCCAACGUCACCUCCUCAGCGAGGCCCUCCCUGGCUGCUCAUCCUCAAAUGGCCCACUUCUCAGCGCCCUGUUUUAUUUCCUUCGUAGAACGCGUUGCCAUCGGAAACAGUCCGAUUACGUCUCUCUGUUUGUUGGUGUCCCUCCCACUGGUGUCUCAGCCCCAUGAGGAGGGGUCCUUGUCCCCAGGGUGGUUUAGAGCAGAGCUUUGUCAACUGUGACGUGCUCACGAAUCACCCGGGAAUCUUCUGAAAUGCAGGUUCCGAUGGAGUAGGACCAGGUCGGGGCCUGAGAAUCUGCAUUUCUAACAAGCACGGGUGACGCUGCCCCGGCCGAGCCCCGUGCUCUGGGCAGCCGGGUCCUCGCACUGCAGGUCUCCACCCCGCGGCCUUGGAAGCUGUGGGGAUGGGCCCGGCGGCGUGCGUUUUCACGGGUGAGUCUGAUGCACGUUCAGGUGUGCAGACCUCUGAUCAGGAGCGGAGUUAAGGGAACGAGCCCCGGAGCCAGGGCUGCCUCGGUUCGAGUCCUGAGGUUAUUCGCUCCCCUGAGCCUCUGUUUUCUGGCUGUGUGGUGGGUGACCUGACCGUUUGAAGGCAGUGAGUUCAUGCGUGUCAGCCGUUUGCCACCACCCCGGCGCUUUGUCCAACGAGUGAUCAGGCGUCAGCCAGAAGUUGUCAACGAGUGGGAGUGCAAGUGGGAACUGAAGGUCGUGCCAGGCCGGGUGUGACCUUCCGGGCCAGCUGUCUGCCUGGCUGACCAGGAUCCCCGUUUGCCCUGACUCCCACGCUCCAGCGAGAGAACAGGAGCACUGAGCCGCAGAGGCUGCAAGCUGCAGCUGGCUUCUCAGCACCCGCUGGAUGGAUCGGCCACGCAGGAACAGAGGCCCUGGGCCGCCAGCAGUGACCCCUCACUGAUGCUCCAGGGACGCUGGUUUGGGGGUUUCCUGGGUACCGGGGAGGACGAGAGGUGGCUCUGUCACCAGCCCAGAUGGAUGACACUCACUGUUUACUGUGCUCUUUCCCAGGCGACCUCCUGGGAGUGUGUCGGCCUGUGAGCGGGGCCUUAUCAUCCCCAUUCUGCAGACAAGGAAGCCAAGGUUCAGGAGAGCUCCAGAAGGAUCUGCGAACAAAGCUACCGGAACCUGGAUGACGGGGAGGCUGGGACGGCUGGGUGCGACCCAGAGGAAGGAAGGGAGGGACGCCAGCCCGAGGGUCCCCAUCCUUCAUCCUUUGACCCCUGCAGGCUCGGGGAGGCCCCCCAAACAAACUCAGAGUCCCAACGCCUUGUCACAUAGCACAGGGCCACAGGCCUGGCCCCUGACAACCGGCUGAGGGCCAAGAGGAGUCAGACAGUGACAUGUCCACUCGGGCAGAAGGCGAGCCAGGUUCUAAGAGGCGUCAUGACCUUGUCUAUGCCCCGGAUCCCACCAGCCGCCUGGUGAAGCCUACAGACCCCCUUUCUCAGAAAAAUUGUUUUUUUAAUUCAUAAAAUACAGAAUAUUACAAAGGAA
rnacentral:lncRNA from 1 species